rnacentral:rRNA from 1 species
AUGGAACCCUAUGUUGGCAUGAGGUUUGACACCCUUCAAAUUGCUAAGGAUCACUACAACAGCUACGCCUUACGGAUGGGUUUCUCUGUCAAAAUGAACACCUCUAGGCGGACAGGCAAUGUAUUGGUAAAACAACAGUUUUGCUGCAACAAGUAUAAGAAGCCAAAAGCUGAUGAUGGUGGAGCUGAGGCUCCUCCUAUCCUGGACCCUAUACCAGAUCCAAGACCUGUUGACACUGAUGAGGAAAUGGAAGAUGAACCUCCAAUCUUUGCUGAAGAGGAGGCUGGUGCUAGUAAGAAAAAGAAGAAACGAAAACGCGAGACAAUAAAGCAGACUCAAUGCAAAGCGAAAAUGUUGGUGAAGCUAAUGGAUGGGCGAUGGGAGGUGACGCAUUUUGUUCGUGACCACAAUCAUCCGCUGGUGAACAAACCUUCAUUUUCCAAAUACUUGAGAUCCCACCAAGGCAUCUCUCCUGAUGAAAAGGAGUUUUUGCGCAUCUUGUAUAACUGCAACUUGACUACAGAUGAUUACAAUCCAAGUACCAUGACGGGCCGUGCUACUACAGGUGAUCAUGAUGAUCCUACUGCCCCGUUGGAGGCUGCAUCCCCUGCACAAGCUUCUGAUGAUUUUGUGCCCAGGGAUCCUCCAAGGUCUACUACAAAGGGUAGGGCAAAGAGUCGACGAUACAAAUCGGCGCUGGAGCUACACCCAAAGAAGAAAAACAAAUGCAGCCAGUGCCAAUCUACAGAGCACACUGCUGGUGUGUGUCCACUCAGGCUACUGUGA